CGAAGACUGCUUAUCUCAUUCUCUCUCUCAUUCAUCCUUCAUACAGUUUCAUUUCAACUCGCGACAAAUUCAGUUCUAAAGAGAAAUGAAACAAACGAACGGAAGAGCUAUUAACACAAUAAUUAUAACAUUUGUGAUAUAUUCUAUAAAUAUAAAAAACAUACAUAUAUAAAUAGACAAAUUCACUAAAAAAGUUCUAAAAAUAUGGAACGAAAUCCAAAUCUACAAAUGACGUCGAAUCGACUAUAUAGUAUCCAGGAUAAUGCCAUGGAACAAGUGGAAUGUCAAUGAACGAGAUCAUCGAUGAACAAGCGCUAUCAUGAGGCAACGUUGAUAAGGAAAAAGAUUGAAGCUGACAAACAUUUUCAAUGCAAGCUAUGUGAUAAUGUCUAUAUAAGUUUCCAAUUCCUAGUGAAACAUGUAGAAUUAACCCAUUGCCCAAGAAAAGAAAAACCAAAACAUGUCACUGAAAAGCCAGCAAAAAUGUAUGCAGCAUUUCAAUGUGUUCAGCCGAAAAUGAAAUAUCCACCUCGAUCGCCUUACUUUAAUCCAAAUCUCUGGGCUGAUCCUGAAGGUUAUGUAUAACUGAAACCGAGUAUUUGAUAUACUCUUACCAAAUGAUACACGAAGUAUUUCAUCAUACGUAUCAUCGAUAUGAAGCAUUUAGAAUGAAGAAUUGAAUUCUUUAAAACUUUUUUGGAGUUUCGUAUUGGGCCCUAGUUAAUCAAAUAAAUAUUACAUUUCGUAAUUAAUUCGAUCAAUUAAAUUGGUACACAACUAAAAAAUUAAUUUUUAGAAAUCUGUGGACUGAUCCUGAAGGUUAUGUAUAACUGAAACCGAGUAUUUGAUAUACUCUUACGAAAUAAAACCCGAAGUAUUCCAUCAUAUCAUCGAUAUGGGGCAUUUUCUUCCAUUAAGAAUUGAUUUCAUUAAACCGUUUUUGGAGUUUCGCAUAUGGACUUAGUUAAUCAAAUAAGUAUUACAUUUCGAGAUAAAUUCGAUCAACUAAAAAAUUAAAACGAUGAAAACUUUAUACUUUAUUUAAAAUUUUUUAUUUUCUCUCUAUGUAUAAUGUAUAUAUGAUUUAUAGUUUAUAGUACAGCAUACGGUAUUUAAUUUCGUUUGGGUAGCUUAUACAUUUAAUGAAAUAAAUCUUGAAACGUACAAAACAA